AACUGAUUCAGCCCGUUGCGCGUUACUGUUCGAUUUUGAGACUGACUGGUUAGUCAUGUGUGAAGAGUAUAAUGUGAAACGCAGAAUUAUCGAUGAAAGAAAUAUGGUUCCUUUUGUUCGUACUGUUGAGAACUUCGUAAUGGCAACCGACUUUCGGAUCACUUCUUUUUAAGUUCUAUAUGUUGCAUUGGUAACUUUAUCGAAGACUGAAUCCACUUUUUGGUUCACAAGAUGGAGAGUGGCGAAAUGUUUAGUGGUCAGACAUUUUUGCAUCACGUCUUCGAACAUGAUAUGUCAAGGCGUCUCGAUGAUAGCCAUUCUUCGACUGCGAUAAGAAAAACAUCGUGUUUGCGCUUCUGUGGUGAUGUUCACCAAAAUGAUGUGUCAAAUAAGUGUUUUCUAUCCCUUGUACUUUGUUAAAACUUGAAAACUUAUCCCUAUAUUUCGCUAAACUGUUACCAUUAAUGAAUCGGCUUUCGUCCAUCAAUACAUGUAUAAAGUAUGGCUGUGUUGCUCCGUUCUCGUUGGCGAAGAAUGUAGUGGUUCAUAAGCAAGGUGUAUGAUAGGUGAUAAGUGUAAGUUGUUUUGACGCUGGUGUUUUUUUAAGAGUAACACCAACCGGUCUUAGUAAUCUCAUUCGUUUCAUAGUUAUUGAGAAGGCUGUGGGCGCAAUAGUUAAUACACGGAAAUCAACUUUUCAUCCACAUUAUUAUUCAUGUUGUCUUCGUUGUAUCGUGAAUAGUGUAUAAUGUGUGCUGUAUUUGUACUGUGAAAAUAGUGAAGUUUCAAAAAUGCAGCCCUCCAGAAGUAUACCAAGUAACAUGAGUGAGAUAUGUAGGUUGUGUUUGUCAAGUGAGGGUAGCAUUCUGCCAAUAUUUGGUGAAGAGGAGGCGGAAGAGCCGCAUAUCCCCCUGUCCUUCAGGAUUCUGGCGUGCGUUUCUGUCGAGGUUACACACAGUGAUGGACUGCCUUCUCUGAUAUGCCAGCAAUGUUUGAAGCAAGUAGAUUCAUGGACAGAGUUCAAGCAACAGUGUGAUGCUUCUCAGGCAACUCUGAAGGAAUGGCAGCGUGCUGCAGAAGCUGCAGCUGCACUGGAUUCCUCUACCAAUGGUACCCCAGACCGUGUUGUAACUUCUGUUUCCGAUGUCACAGAUCUUGGCAGCCAAUCAUCCCCUGCUGCCAACAAGAUCUCAUCACGAAGGAGACACUUCAUUGCUGUGGAUCAAGUCAAGGAAACUACAAUAAAGCAGGAGCCCCCGGAUGAUUAUGGGAAUGACGAUGAUGAUAUUUUGGAAGACGAGGAAGAAGAGGAGGAAGAGGAUGAUGAUAGCAUGACUGAACUCGUUGAUGAUGCUGAGAGUGUUUCUUCCUGUGAAGAUGAUAGAAGAAUGUAUUCACAUGUACCUGUGGAAAUAAAACAGGAAGAGAUAGAAGUUUCUGAUGGAAGUGAUAAUGAAUAUUCACAUAAUUCUCAAGUUGCUGGAAGUUCCACUCAGGUUGACUCAGGAUUGAGCAAAAAUGUAGUAAAAACUGAACGAGAAGGUUCAGUAACUGAAGCUGGCAACCAUCACGGUCAGUCGCAGCGGCUAACACGUCGUCCACGGAGACUCUUCCUUGCUCGUAAAAAACGUUUUGGGCUAAGUUCGGGUGGAUCAAAAAUAUUCCCUUGUCAUGUCUGCAAUAAAGGUUUUGGGAGAAAAUCACACGCAAUUCGCCAUGAAAUGUCACACAGCCAUAUGAUUCAACUUUCUCAGACAACUUCUGGAAAUUCCUGUUUGAUGUGCAACAAGACUUUCUCAAAUCGUUCAAAUUUGGACCGCCACCUGCGUUUACACAGAGGCCAUCAGUUGCAAACUGCCCUUGAGCUUGGAAAUACAAGGCAGAAUGGACCAUCCUGGCAAAAUUCAGAACCAAACACUGGACAAGCAGUAGAAAGUGGCUCAGCAGAGCCAGAAGCUGAUUAUUAUUGUUACUUGUGUGGCAAAACCUUCCUUUCGCAGUAUCGCCUAAAGAUGCAUAUGGGCCAGCAUUCAAACUACAAAUGCCCAAAAUGUGGCAAAUGCUUCAAGGGUGGCACUGCCCUUUCCAACCAUCUACGCAUUCAUAACAUAAGGGGCUUUGUGAAGCACACAUGCCGAUUUUGCAUGAGAUCAUUUGCCUCAUUAGCGGCAAUGAUGAGUCACCGAAAGACACACUACCGAGCGGGUGCAGCUUCAGUGCAUACCUCCAGUGCACAACCACCACCAGUACCACCGGCACCUCCAGCUCAUGCAACAUCGGCACCCACACCAGUGCCAGCGCAGUUGUCAGUUUCACAGCAGUCAACAACACCUAUGACAGAGACAGAUUCAUCUCGUGGCAAUGCUGUAUUGUGCCGCCUUUGCAAUAAGUGGUUUAACAGUUUCUCAAUGCUCGAGCAGCACUUGGUAACACAUUCGACAAAUAAGCCGUAUUCAUGUUCAGUGUGUGGACUUCUGUUGGGAUACGCCUCAUCAGUAUACAAACACAUGCGUAAGAUGCACGGUGUUACUGUUGACUAUCAUACAAUUCGCCAGCAACUUCUUGGUACUGUCCCACCAGCAGGACCUCCUGCCCCACGGAUCAAUCCGCCUUUCUGUGGGCCAGCUGUGCAGAGCCGACCAGAACAGCCUGUUCCACAACCAACGACAUUUCCAUGCACAUUUUGUUCUCGGACGUUUACUCAUAAAUCAUUUUUAGCAGCGCACAUCCGAGCAACUCAUACAGGAACAAAUGGUACUCACCAGUGCCAGCUCUGUGGACAUGCUUUUGCUCAUCGCUACCUGCUACUUCGUCACAUAAAGACUCACGGUGGCUUCACGUGCCUUGUUUGCAUGAAGCAGUUUUCUGAUCUGAGAACACUAAACAAUCACAAAGGAGUACAUAAGCGAUUCAAAUUGCUUCAGUGCCCAUUGUGUAGCCAAAGUUUCAAUGGUGUACAACGGUUGGAGGCCCAUAAAGCACAGGCUCACCCUCUUGCAAAUGCAGGCUCAAUAGGAAUAUCAUACCUGUUUCAUUGUGACACUUGUGGUGAACGUUUUGCAACACGAUCAGAGCUUGCCCAACACAGAGAGAGCCAUAUUAGCCUCAAGUUGUACACUUGUCAAGUUUGCAAGAACUCAUAUAACAGCUCCUCAGCACUCAGCAAACAUAAACGCAAACAUGGACAUUAUGAAUCAUCCGAAAAUGUGGGAGAUAUGCCAGAUAAUAAGCCAUUUGUGUGCUCUGAAUGUGGAAAAGUUUUCACUGAUGCAGAAACGUACACACGCCACCAGGCUGUGCACAGACGGAGGAGCACUCCCACACCUUUAAUUGGUGGUUCAACUCCUUCAACAGCAAAUUCUCCAGCAGAGAGCAGUCACUGUACACUAUGCAACCGCACAUUCCGUGAUCAUCUUAGUCUCAUUCGACAUAAGGGCUGGCAUACUCGUCGACCGAAUCAGAUUCCUGUCGUCGUGAACCAUGAUGUUUCAGAAGAAACAACAUCAGCAGCAGUACUUGCAGAUGCAAGCUCACCAAACAGCCGCCUCUAUCCAUGUGACUACUGCAACAAAUCCUACAGCAAUGCAGGCUCAUUGUCCAAACAUAGACGAACGAACUGUCCCCGUCUACAUGUCAGUAAUGUUGAACAGACAGACAUGGAACCAGAAACAUUGGACCAAGAAGAUGAAGAUGAGGACAUAAAGCCUGUGUUACAACCUCUUGUAGUGCUUCAAGAAGAUGGGGAUGAUGGGACGCCUGUUGCAACCAGCAAUGGCCCAGUUACCAUUCCAACUGCAACUACUAGUUUUGAGAGACAUCCAUGUGCUCUGUGCCCAAAAGUAUUCCGUACACCCAAAGCACUUGUAGUGCAUCGUGGCUGGCACGCUCGGUCGCCUAGGCCGUCUCCACCUCAGCUGCCUUUUGCUGACAGCUCAUCUCGCCCAAAGGAUGACGGAGAUGGACGCUCCUACACAUUAAUGGAUGCCAGUGAAACAAUGGAUGAAAACAGACUCUACAGGAAAAUGACUGUCCAAGAAUCAGAAAUAAAUUUAACAGAUUUCAUGGCAGAAGAUGUGGCUACAGACAGUGUCAAUGACACGGCGAAUUUGCAACUCUUAAACUUGACACAUUUCAUGAUGCCACUGUCCAUGGAAUGAAUGUCUUGUGGUCUUUAAUGGAAACUGUGCAUGCAGUCCAUACAGCUGCUGAGGUGCAAUGCAUGCUGGAGAACAUUUAGUAAUACAUCAGCAUUCAGGAGGCACAAAUGUCUUGCUCAAGAUGAUCUAAUGAUUCAUAGAAGCACACCAAGCACUCAAAGUACUCCUCAAGGUGGUGGUGUCAG
rnacentral:misc_RNA from 1 species